AGAGUUUGAUCCUGGCUCAGGAUGAACGCUGGCGGCGUGCUUAACACAUGCAAGUCGAACGAAGCGCCUUUGAUUCUUCGGAAGAGGGGGCGACUUAGUGGCGGACGGGUGAGUAACGCGUGGGUAACCUGCCCCACACAGGGGGAUAACAGUUGGAAACGACCGCUAAUACCGCAUAACCCGCUAGCACCGCAUGGUGCGGACGGAAAAGAUUUAUCGGUGUGGGAUGGACCCGCGUCUGAUUAGCCAGUUGGCAGGGUAACGGCCUACCAAAGCGACGAUCAGUAGCCGGCCUGAGAGGGUGAACGGCCACAUUGGGACUGAGACACGGCCCAAACUCCUACGGGAGGCAGCAGUGGGGAAUAUUGCACAAUGGGGGGAACCCUGAUGCAGCGACGCCGCGUGAGUGAAGAAGUAUUUCGGUAUGUAAAGCUCUAUCAGCAGGGAAGAGAAUGACGGUACCUGACUAAGAAGCCCCGGCUAACUACGUGCCAGCAGCCGCGGUAAUACGUAGGGGGCAAGCGUUAUCCGGAUUUACUGGGUGUAAAGGGAGCGUAGACGGCCGUGCAAGUCAGGAGUGAAAGCUCGGGGCUCAACCCCGGAACUGCUCUUGAAACUGCAAGGCUGGAGUGCUGGAGAGGUAAGCGGAAUUCCUGGUGUAGCGGUGAAAUGCGUAGAUAUCAGGAGGAACACCAGUGGCGAAGGCGGCUUACUGGACAGUGACUGACGUUGAGGCUCGAAAGCGUGGGGAGCAAACAGGAUUAGAUACCCUGGUAGUCCACGCGGUAAACGAUGAAUAC
rnacentral:rRNA from 1 species